GAUGAAACGCUGGCGGUAAUGCUUAAACACAUGCAAAGUCGAAACGGAAUCUUUAGGGAUUUAGUGGCGGACGGGUGAGUAACGCGUGAGAAUCUGGCUUCAGGUCGGGGACAACAGUUGGAAAACGACUGCUAAUACCGGAUAUGCCGAGAGGUGAAAGGUUAACUGCCUGAAGAUGAGCUCGCGUCUGAUUAGCUAGUAGGUGGGGUAAAGAGCCUACCUAGGCGACGAUCAGUAGCUGGUCUGAGAGGAUGAUCAGCCACACUGGACUGAGACACGGCCCAGACUCCUACGGGAGGCAGCAGUGGGAGUUUCCGCAAUGGCGAAAGCCUGACGGAGCAAUACCGCGUGAGGGA
rnacentral:rRNA from 1 species